rnacentral:rRNA from 1 species
GACAACGCUGGCGGCGUGCUUACACAUGCAGUCGAACGAUGAAGCUUUCGGGGUGGAUUAGUGGCGAACGGGUGAGUAACACGUGGGCAAUCUGCCCUUCACUCUGGGACAAGCCCUGGAAACGGGGUCUAAUACCGGAUAUCACUCUCUUCUGCAUGGGGGAGGGUUGAAAGCUCCGGGCGGUGAAGGAUGAGCCCGCGGCCUAUCAGCUUGUUGGUGGGGUGAUGGCCUACCAAGGCGACGACGGGUAGCCGGCCUGAGAGGGCGACCGGCCAGCACUGGGACUGAGACACGGCCCAGACUCCUACGGGAGGCAGCAGUGGGGAAUAUUGCACAAUGGGCGGAAGCCUGAUGCAGCGACGCCGCGUGAGGGAUGACGGCCUUCGGGUUGUAAACCUCUUUCAGCAGGGGAAGAAGCGUGAGUGACGGUACCUGCAGAAGAAGCGCCGGCUAACUACGUGCCAGCAGCCGCGGUAAUACGUAGGGCGCAAGCGUUGUCCGGAAUUAUUGGGCGUAAAGAGCUCGUAGCGGCUUGUCGCGUCGGAUGUGAAAGCCCGGGGCUUAACCCCGGGUCUGCAUUCGAUACGGGCAGGCUAGAGUGUGGUAGGGGAGAUCGGAAUUCCUGGUGUAGCGGUGAAAUGCGCAGAUAUCAGGAGGAACACCGGUGGCGAAGGCGGAUCUCUGGGCCAUUACUGACGCUGAGGAGCGAAAGCGUGG